AGACAUCAGAUAUGAAGAUUAACGCAGCUGUACAGGAGAGGUGUGUCUGUGUUUGACCGACAGCAGCUGGCAGGUGGAGCUCCACAGGGAACGUGACAGAGUAAAGACCACAGCAGCGUCUGAACGGACCAAAGUCACAUCCACAGAAUAAAGACCCCCAAAAGAGAUUUCUGUGUCCUGUGCUGAUCCAACUCCACCAGGCUACAGAUAUAUAUUGUGAAAUGGUUUCACUGGUCCGGCCCACUUGAAGUCAGACUGAGCUGUCUGUGGCCCCUGAACUGAGCUGGUCAGAUGACUUCCCUGUCGUAUAUCUGUACUGCUCCUCGGCUGGUGUUUCUAAGGUGUGAUGGUGAAGGCGGGGGCCCAUCGAUACUCACCUGCUUGUAGUCGGAGCGAAACAUAGAGAGUGGUCUGGACGAUGCACAGCAGGCCAAAGCUGACUCCCACCAACCACAAGACUUUUGACCCUCCUGCAGGAAGACACACACACACACACACACACACACACACACACACACACACACACACACACACACCAUAACUUUAUUAUUACUUUGAGGAAGUGGUUUUUGUCACGCAUCAUUAGAUUCAGUUAAUUCCUUUUAAUAAACUUCAGCUUUAUGAAGCACCUUCAGUUUUCUACCUCAAACACAAAUACUAACAAUCACAUCAUAUUUUAGCACGUCCUCCACGACUCUGUGUUUUAUGUCUGAGAAUAAUAACCAAUGAUGAUGUUCAGCAGAAGAACAAAGAGGAAGUGGCUAUAAAUACAGAUUUCUAUGAAAACGACCAAAACUAUCACUGACGUCACAGUUAUUAGGAAUAAACUAACAAACCUUACGUGUGAUUAUUUUUAUACACAGUCCUGAAAGGAAAACUUUUCAUGAGCUGAGUGGGUGGUGAGGUCGUUGCAGCUUCCAAAUAAGUUCAACAGUAUCUGCCCACAGACGCCAUAACAGGAGAUAUGAUGAACUCACUGUGUGUGGUUUAAAGAGGCAACAGACAGCAUCUUUUCCUAAAUAUAUCAUGAUGAAAAUAAUGUGGGUUGCACAGGGUAGUGGCCACAGUAAAAGCAGACUAUCAGCGUUUACAUAGGUUACUUAGUGGCUUUGCAAUCUUUGCAAUAAGCUUCUGUCGUGUGUUGUGAAACUGGUCGGUCAGCCAAUCAGGGACUGGAGCUGGUCCUUAUGAGGAGUUGGGCAUGAGAUAGUUGAGUCACGAGCACAAUGGCAGACGGACAAAGUUUGGAGACAAGUGAAAAACGGCCUAGCAAAAGAAAAGGAGCUCCUCUGUGUGCAUUCUGCUGUAAUUAUUUGCAUUACUAUUUGUUUUUUCUUCAGAUAAAUCUGAUAAUUGUUGCUCGGUCUCUUUACUCAUUUAUUUAGUAGAGUGUCCACACACCUUCUCAUUCUACAUAUACAUAGAGGUAUACUGGUGGCUUUACAGCCUGCAUUUUAUUCAUUAUCUCUGAUCCCCACGCUCAAUUUGGUCGUUGCGACAGUGCAAUGCAACACCACUGACGCUAGGUGGCGCCAAGCUAAAAAAAACAAAUCCCACCUGUUG